rnacentral:rRNA from 1 species
CAGCUCUUGACAUGUCCAGUAUGGGGCCGAGAGAUCGGCUUCUUCAGUUCGGCUGGCUGGAACACAGGUGCUGCAUGGCUGUCGUCAGCUCGUGUCGUGAGAUGUUGGGUUAAGUCCCGCAACGAGCGCAACCCUCAUCUUCAGUUGCCAUCAGGUUAAGCUGGGCACUCUGAAGGAACUGCCGGUGACAAGCCGGAGGAAGGCGGGGAUGACGUCAAGUCCUCAUGGCCUUUAUGGGCUGGGCUACACACGUGCUACAAUGGCGAUGACAGAGGGACGCGAAGGGGCAACCCUUGGCCAAUCUCAAAAAGCCGUCUCAGUUCGGAUUGUCCUCUGCAACUCGAGGGCAUGAAGCUGGAAUCGCUAGUAAUCGCGGAUCAGCACGCCGCGGUGAAUACGUUCCC